rfam:Globodera pallida, Lindley, WGS project CBXT01000000 data, contig: pathogens_Gpal_scaffold_29_contig_17
GCCAUGAUAGCUCAGUUGGGAGAGCGUUAGACUGAAGAUCUAAAGGUCCCCGGUUCAAUCCCGGGUCGUGGCA